rnacentral:rRNA from 1 species
UACGGAGGGGGCUAGCGUUGUUCGGAAUUACUGGGCGUAAAGCGUGCGUAGGUGGUUUUUUAAGUCCGUUGUGAAAGCCCGGAGCUCAACUCCGGAACUGCCAUUGAAACUGUUUGGCUCGAGUACGAGAGAGGUGAGUGGAAUUCCCAGUGUAGAGGUGAAAUUCGUAGAUAUUGGGAAGAACACCGGUGGCGAAGGCGGCGACCUGGUCCGAUACUGACGCUGAGGCGCGAAAGCGUGGGGAGCAAACAGG